rnacentral:tRNA from 1 species
GUGCCGUGGUGGUGCGCUUCACGGUGUGCGCCUCCUUGAAGGGGGCGUGAACGGUGCGGAACCCCGGAAAGGGCGGGUGCCGCACCGGCCACGGGUUA